AGAAAGGGUUGCCUGUUGCACUUGUUGAAUAUGAAGGAGAACAGCAUGGUUUCCGUAGGGCUGAAAAUAUUAAAUUCACCCUUGAACAACAAAUGGUGUUCUUUGCACGUUUAGUGGGACAUUUUGAAGUAGCAGAUGAAAUUACUCCUGUCAAAAUUGAUAAUUUUGAUUGAGGUAUACGACUCCUGAAUGGUCUGCACCAUAGAGUUGUUCAAUACCAUUGCCAUAACUAAGGAAAAAGUUGAUGACGGAGAGAGAAGCAGCCGUUUGAUUUAAUUUGCUGGAGCAGUUAUACUUGAGGAAACAUUUUUGUUUAAUAACAUCAUCAAAUUUGCUGAUCAAAGAAACUAGAACAUCGUCAAGCGCACAGAACACUUGGAGUUUGCUCUUGACAGAUUGCUUAAUGUGGCAGUAAGCCUUGAGGGAGAGGAAUUGUGAUGGGUUUGGGUGUGGAUUGCUGGAUGUAUUUUCUCUUUUCUGAGUGCUCUCUUUAGCUUUGGUACCAUGUGAAAUGAGAAAUCUUAUUGAAUUGGUUAGAAGUCUAAUCCCUGAAGCCUCCUAUAAAAGAUUGUACACUGAUCGUUCUUAUAACAGCUAGCCUAAUUUGUGAAA